GUCAAAACACCACUCCAAACCAUAGACAGUGUUUGUAGCAUUACAUUCUGAUAGGUCAAAACACCACUCCAAACUAUAGACAGUGUUUGUAGCAUUACAUUCUGAUAGGUCAAAACACCACUCCAAACUAUAGACAGUGUUUGUAGCAUUACAUUCUGAUAGGUCAAAACACCAUAGAACAAACACAAUACUGUAUGUAGCAUUACAUUCUGAUAGGUCAAAACACCACUCCAAACCAUAGACAGUGUUUGUAGCAUUACAUUCUGAUAGGUCAAAACACCAUAGAACAAACACAAUACUGUAUGUAGCACACAGGCAUUUUCAGAGGGACAUUUUGCAUGCAGAACACCAUACUCCAAACCACAAAGGGAUCCGGCAACUGGAGAGAUUAGCCUAUGUACCGCACAGUCAUAUUCAGAUCAUACCUUACUGCUUUCAACAUACAGUUCAUGGGUUCUGUCUCUCUCUCUCUUUCUCUCGCUCUCUCUCUGUCUCUGUCUCUCUCUCUCUCUCUCUCUGUCUGUCUCUCUCUGUCUCUCUCUCUCAAUCUCUGUCUCUCUCUCUCUCAAUCUCUGUCUCUCUCUCAAUCUCUGUCUCUCUCUCAAUCUCUCUCUCUCAAUCUCUCUCUCAAUCUCUCUCACUCUCUCUCAAUCUCUCUCUGUCUCUCUCUCAUUCUCUCUCUCUUUCUGUCUCUCUCUCGCUCGCUCUCUCUCUCUCUCUCUCUCUCUCUCUCUCUCUGUCUGUCUCUCACACCUCACCUGGCACCAGAUAAUUUAGAAUGAUUAUACUGCAGGAUUAAAUCUUGGCUGUGACAGUCAAGAAGAACAACACAAGCCAUCAUGGUGAUGAAAGCAUGGUGUACAUUAUUCUGAGGGUACGUCCCUAUAAUACAUUACCCCCCCCCCCUGAAGUGUACUGUUCCCUCAAAUAUAAAAGCCUUGACUAGCUGAUCAUAACAGAUUAAGUGAUCAUAGUGUUAGGCCUUGUAGUGUUUUUUGUUGUUGUCUAUACUAGCUGAUCAUAGUGAGAUACACCUGCAUUAGCUCCUCCCCCCCAAGCUAAUGCCUAGACUUUAUCUCAGCUGGCUAACACAGAUUCCUGGAGACCCGGAUUGGAACCUACAUGCAGACAGGCGAUCUUUAAAAACCUUUAAAGACCUGUAUAGAUCUUUAUAGCCCUUUUUAGCCAGACUUCAUAGACACAGCGUGCAGAGUAAGUUAGUUAGGAAGAUAUGUUAAGGCAGCGUUUCCCAAACUAGGUCCCUGGGGAACCCAAGGAGUGCACGUUUUUUUUUUUUUCUCCUCUACAAUUACACAGCUGAUUCAAUUCAUCACAGCUUGAUGAUGAGUUGAUUACUUUUUUAAUCAGCUAUGUAGUGCUAGGGCAAAAAAAAAAAAAAAUGGGGUCCCCAGGUCCGAGUUUUGGAAAUCCUUGGUCAAGGAAAACAGACUUUCUACACACCAGAUAUACAGAGCAUUCCUGGAAAGUAUUCAGACCCCUUCCCUUCUUUCCACAUUGUGUUACGUUACAGCCUUAUUCUACAAUGGAUGAAAUAAAACACAUUCCUCAUCAAUCUACACACAAUAUCCCUAUAAUGACAUCACAAUACCCCUAUAAUGACAUCACAAUAUCCCUAUAAUGACAUCACAAUACCCCUAUAAUGACAUCACAAUACCCCUAUAAUGACGAAGCGAAAAUAUAUAUAUAUUUCUGUUAUAUUUGGAAAUGUAUAAAAAAAAAAUUGAAUGCAUCCCAAUUGGCACCCUAGUCCCUACAUGCGGGGACUGCAAUUAUUAUUAUUAUUAUUAUUUUUAAAUGUAACCUUCAUUUAACAACACAAGUCAGUUUUAAGAACAAAAAUUCUUGCAAUAGGAUGUCGUUUGGGACACUGUCAUUGUCUAUGACCCAGUGCCUGCCCAGUGUAUAUAUAAACACAUGUAAUAAUCAGCCCCUGUUAUUGGUCAGUUACACCACAGAUGUACAGGUUUUUAUCUAUUUGUCACUUGUUGUGGUUAAUAAUAUUGUAUUGUUUCUGAAUGCAGCAUUGUGGGAGUUUUUGAACUAUGAGAAAUGAAAAGCACUUACUGAAAUGAAAUGAAAAUAAAGUUAUUAAU
ensembl:lncRNA